GAUGAACGCUGGCGGCGUGCCUAAUACAUGCAAGUCGAGCGAACGGACGAGAAGCUUGCCUCUCUGAUGUUAGCGGCGGACGGGUGAGUAACACGUGGAUAACCUACCUAUAAGACUGGGAUAACUUCGGGAAACCGGAGCUAAUACCGGAUAAUAUUUUGAACCGCAUGGUUCAAAAGUGAAAGACGGUCUUGCUGUCACUUAUAGAUGGAUCCGCGCUGCAUUAGCUAGUUGGUAAGGUAACGGCUUACCAAGGCAACGAUGCAUAGCCGACCUGAGAGGGUGAUCGGCCACACUGGAACUGAGACACGGUCCAGACUCCUACGGGAGGCAGCAGUAGGGAAUCUUCCGCAAUGGGCGAAAGCCUGACGGAGCAACGCCGCGUGAGUGAUGAAGGUCUUCGGAUCGUAAAACUCUGUUACUAGGGAAGAACAAAUGUGUAAGUAACUGUGCACAUCUUGACGGUACCUAAUCAGAAAGCCACGGCUAACUACGUG
rnacentral:rRNA from 1 species